UCUUUUCUUCGCGUUUGAUUUGACAAAAAUUAAGAGAGCAAGCUAAUAUAUAACCUUUUUCAUGGUCCACUUCUUUUUUCUUAGCUUUUUAAUAAGAACAUCCAGGCUCCAACCCUUGAAUAAGACCAUUUUUUUGAAAUUAACAAGCUGGCAUUCUUUUCUUUCUCAAAGCUUUUCAACUUUCUAUUGCCUUCGAACAUUACUUUUACUUGUAGAAGCAUCUGAUUUCUAGCUCUCAUCUCUCUCUCCCUCUUUCUCUCUCCACACCACAUAUUUCAAAUUAACAAUCCCCUACACACACAAUUGCGCAUUGAAUUGCCCAUGUUUCCUGCUCUCACCACCUUUUGGUCACCAAUUGCCUCAAAACCAAACUUCACCAAACCAUCUUUCACCAUCUGAUCUCUCUCCAUUCUAGCAAUCUAGUUUACUUAAUUUGGAACAAGCAAACUUAGCAUGGCUUCAAGUAGACGGCCUCUAGUUGUACUCGUAUCGGUAUGGCUUUUUGUGACGUUCAUCUUCAUUCCUCACGGAAAUUGCCAUGCCUCACCCACAACCGCCGCCCAAGUCUUCAGGUUCAAACCCAAGUACAUGCAGAAUUCUGGCCACUUUUUGGGCUUCUUUCCGAGAAGGAUACCUAUACCGGCUUCUGGCCCCUCAAGGAAGCACAAUGGUAUCGGCUUAAGAAGUUGGAGAUCACCCUGAUCAACAUAUCUAUAGCUACACAAGUUUAAUUUUUGACAAGGUACAGUAAUGCGUAUUGGUUUCUGAGAUUUCCUACAGAUGUAUAGGAGAAAGACUGGUUGGUUUUAUCUUAAUUCUGUGUUUUGGUGUGCUUCAGCAGUAGAUAAUAACAGCUUCACAGACUCUAAUUACUGAAUCACUGAUAUGAUAAUGACUUCAAUGUAUUAUUGUUUUCCAUUUCAAUGUCGUUCUGUAUAUUAUAGUAAAUACUAUACGUGCAAUUAAUACGUAUAUUUCAACA